CGACCCGGCCAUAGCGGCCGGGUAACACCCGGACUCAUGUCGAACCCGGAAGUUAAGCCGGCCGCGUUGGGGGAUGCUGUGGGGUCCGCGAGGCCC
rnacentral:rRNA from 1 species